UACAGAGGUCCCGAGCGUUGUUCGGAUUCAUUGGGCGUAAAGGGCGCGUAGGCGGCUUGGCAAGUGGAUGGUGAAAUCCUCGGCUUAACCGAGGAACUGCCGUCCAAACUGCUUUGCUUGAGACCGGGAGAGGUGAGUGGAAUUCCAGUGUAGCGGUGAAAUGCGUAGAUAUCAGGAGGAACACCGGUGGCGAAGGCGGGUCUCUGGGCAGUAACUGACGCUGAGGAGCGAAAGCGUGGGGAGCGAACAGG
rnacentral:rRNA from 1 species